AGCUGGAAGAACUGACUCGUUAAUUUCAUGUCACUAUCAAGCAAGUCAGCCUUUGGUUUUAGCAGAACUCUCCCAACUCUUCUUUGGUUGAACUUGGUGCCAUCUGAACCAAGAAGAACAUUUGGUGAAAUGGCUCUGAAUGAAGCUCCAUGGGACUCUGGAGGUUUAAAAAUGCAUUCACAUCAACUUUGUGAAUUAUUAGACAACGUUUUAGGGAAAGACAACUCCUAAGGUUUGGGAAUUUCUAUAAAGCACCUUCAGAGACAAGAGAGAAAUCUACCCUAUAACAAACCUCUUAAGAGGUGAGAGAUUUUUAGAACAUUUUUAAAAAUAUGCAAUUUUGGUUAUUGUAGCAGUUUGACAUGGUUAUGAAUUCCAAAAAUAGAUACUGUAUUAUGUUUGUAAUUUGGUCUGUAUCUGGGGGUGAUUAAGUUAUGAUUAGGGCUUUGAUUGUGCCCUGUCAUUAGGCUGUUGAGUCCCCAUCCCUUGGUGAGUGGGGACUCACAGAUAAAAGGCAUGGCAAAGAACAGAGUUGGGGGUUCUUAAUGUUGGAGUUUUAAUAUUAGUGUUUGAUGCUGGUCUUUAGCUGGACCUCUUGGGAGAGAGACAGAGCCAUCCACCUCAUAGUCUACAGCUGACCUUGUGGAGAAAACAGAGGCGCUGAGCCCAGAGGAACCUAGGAAGCCUGAACCCUCGCAGAUGUCAGCAGCCAUCUUGCUCCAACACGUGAAAAUUGACUUUGGUAGGGAAGUAACUUAUGUUCUGUGGCCUGGUAUCUGUAAGCUCCUACCCCAAAUAAAUACCCUUGAUAAAAACCUACCAAUUU
rnacentral:lncRNA from 1 species